UACGGGGGGGGCAAGCGUUGUUCGGAAUUACUGGGCGUAAAGGGCUCGUAGGUGGCCAACUAAGUCAGACGUGAAAUCCCUCGGCUUAACCGGGGAACUGCGUCUGAUACUGGAUGGCUUGAGUUCGGGAGAGGGAUGCGGAAUUCCAGGUGUAGCGGUGAAAUGCGUAGAUAUCUGGAGGAACACCGGUGGCGAAGGCGGCAUCCUGGACCGACACUGACGCUGAGGAGCGAAAGCGUGGGGAGCGAACAGG
rnacentral:rRNA from 1 species